AAAUCACUCACCUGAAGAUCCGUGCUCAGCUCGAUCACGCUGUAGAGGAAGGGCUUCAUGGGCUCUGGGACAUCCCGUAUCGUUCGAACCAGCUGCUCUAGGGUGCCAAUGAUGGCGCAGCGCAGAAGGUCGUGUUCCUCGCUCUCGCGCCACAGGAGGGCGUCAUCGUGCCCAGCACCACGAUCUUGGUGUCGCACUCGCCGGCCUCAUGGAGCAGCAAAAAGAGGGCCUCGAAGAGGGAUGGAAAAUACGGGUGGAACGCUUCCGGCAUAAACUCAAAAUCGUCGAUCAACAGAUUCAACGUCCUGGCAGCGGCCAACCUGGUGGGCAUGUCCUCCUGCGGCCGGAGAAGAUGCAGGCAUGCUUCGUAAGCCAGCGGUCUCAGUUCUCUGGGCAACUGGACGCCAACCCAAUGGCCUACCAGCCAGAUGAUGCGACGCCGUAGGAUCCGAAAGUUCAGAGCUUCCACGCGCAGCUCCGCAAGCAAUUGGGAUGUCAGCCAUGCGCCAAAGUCCAGCUUGUUAAAGAAAUGAAAGGCUGCCUGGCCUACGGCAUUGUAGAUAGCGUCUUUCAGUAGAAUGGCCUUCAGGUCAGAUUCCGGGGUCAGCUGCAAUUGCUGGGCACGCCUUACGAAACGGAGCACCUCCGGAAUCAUCACUUGCGAAUGCUGAGUAAAACAUGUGAAAUAAAGGGUCUCCACGCUUGGCCUUAAGGCGUACUUCCAAGCAUCACCACCGCCGUCGUCCUGGUCAUAGCCCUCUGGAUCCUGCUGCCACUCCUCCAGCUCCUGUUGAGUGAGCAGAAAAUAGUGCGUCACGAUCUUCUCACAGAUGUAGGUCACUCGCUCCGCUGUGAAGAACUUGGCUUGGCUUUGAGCAGCGCUGGCUAACAGCUCAUCCUCUAUGUGAGCACCACCUUCGGGCGGAGCACUGAUGCUAUCGUUGCCGCUCAGCAUGAUACCUUUCAGCAUGUUCAGCGCCUGUAUGGCAAAGUUUUUAAAGUUAAUGCGAUCGCCGGCGUCGAAAAUGAGGGCGGUGCCCUCGUGGAACACAUAGUGGAAGCUGAACUCCAGGGCCACAGGAACGAACCUCGCAAAGGACACAGAAUGCCGCUCCAUCAGUUCAUUGAGGGUCUUCAUCAUCUUAAUCACAAAGCGCUCCAAUUCGGUGAGUAUCGUGGCAGUGCCUGGUGUGGCCGAUCCCACUUUCAGUUCAUAGCGCAGUUCGAGGCACUGUCGCAACCGCUGGAAAAGCUGCUCCACAAAGUUCAUGUGAUCCGUGGACUUGUACGGCUUGGCACAGCCGUAGACCACCAGCUUGCGCAGGGUUCUCAUCACCACAUACGCCCGUUGAAGGGCAUUGAGGGCCAUGGCCUCGUCCUUUCGCACGAGCUGCAAAAAGCGCGUCGUAAGUGGUGCCCAAAUGUCCCACGCCAGAUAUCCAAAUAUCUGUAAGCCCAGCUCCUGGAAGGCACGCUGCUCGGCCAUCAGACGCCGUGAGGCCAGGGCCUUGAGGACAUAGUGUAGGACAAUAAGAAUUCGCUGCUGCAGGGCCGAAUCCCCAUCCGUACCGCAGGACUGCAGCUGCUUCAUGAGUGUCGGCAGCAGAUCCGGCCAAAAUCGCGGGUAAUCCGUGCGUGCCAGGCGACCCAGGAGCACGGCUACCUGCAGGGCUACCUGGGGCACUUCCUCUGCGUCGUAGUGACGCAGAAGUACUUCCCGGAUCUGCUGCUUUUGCUCCGCGGGCAGUUCCUGCCGCGAAUUGGGCCGCCAAUAGCGCUCCACGCCAUUCUUUAGGUAGACAGCCGCCAUCCAGCGCACCUUCACCUCGGAGUCCUCCGUACUGGACACCACGUCGCCGCCGCCACCUCGUCGCAUGCUCAGACGGGCAAUCGUGGGAAAGAAGCCCGGCUGCUGCUCCCACUCGCGCAGCUGCGCCUCCGCCUUCUGGACAAUCUCAUGGCUCGGAUUUGUGGCCGCCUGCAGUGUCUGGGCUACCAGCUGCUCCACCGACGCUCCAGCACCCGCUGCGGCUGCUCCAGAUACUGCUCCCGUUGCCAUUUCCAUCACACGACGCCUCCUCUUGCGACGCUUGCGAGGACGAAAAUUAUUGGCAAAUUUCUGCGGCGCGUGCUGCUUCUUGCUUGAAUUUCAGUGUGACCGACCGCAAAUGCUGGAAAAUACUAAAACAGCAAAUUUUAAUAUAAAUAAUUUUGCAAAAAAUUUCAAAUUUAAAUUAUUGUUUGUUAAGUUUUUGUUGAAAUGGAAUUUUAAAAGAAAUUACAAUACAUUUAAUAACAACU
ensembl:ncRNA asRNA:CR43429 antisense RNA:CR43429